CUUCGCUUUUCUAUACCUUUCACCAUUUUCAUCGGUCCUAUCCUUGUAUAAGGCUUUACAACAUUCCUUCUUAGCCUUCACCUUUGUUUGUACCUCCUCAUUCCACCACCAAGAUUCCUUUUGGUGUGGGGCAAAGCCCUUGGACUCUCCUAAUACCUCUUUUGCUACUUUUCGGAUACAACUAGCCAUGGAAUCCCACAUUUGGUUAGCUUCCCCCUCUCUAUCCCACACACACUGGGUGGUUAUUUUCUCUUUGAAAAUGGCUUGUUUUUCUUCUUUUAGAUUCCACCAUCUAGUCCUUGGGCACUUCCAAGUCUUGUUUUUUUUUCUCACUCUUUUGAUAUGUACAUCCAUCACCAACAAGCGAUGUUGAUUAGCCACGCUCUCUCCUGGUAUAACUUUGCAAUCCUUACAAGUUAUAU
rnacentral:lncRNA from 1 species